CGAAACCUGCAUGGGCCACCG
rnacentral:siRNA from 1 species